GGGGUUGUGGCUCAGCGGUAGAGUGCUCACCUAGCACAUGCGAGCACAUGCGAGGCCCUGGGUUCAAUCCUCAGCACCACA
rnacentral:tRNA from 1 species